rnacentral:rRNA from 1 species
AGUAUUUUGACUAUACAAAGGUAUUGAAAUAAGACUUUAAUUGAGUGCUAAGAGAAUGGAAUUUCAUAAAAUUUCUUUUUUAAUUUUAAAAAUUGAAAUUAAUUUUAUAUGUGAAGAAACAAUAAUAAAAAUUAAGGACAAGAAGACCCUAAGAAUUUUAAAAAUUUCAAUAUAAUAUAAUAUUAUAUUGAAAUUUUUUAAUUGGGGCGAUUAUUAAAUAUUAAAAACUUUAAUUUUUUUAAAAAAGAACCAAUAUUAUUGGUUAUUUGAGAAAAUACUCUAGGGAUAACAGCGUAAUAAUUUUUGAUAGUUCUUAUAGACAAAAUAGUUUGCGACCUCGAUGUUGGAUUAGGAUUCUUUUUUAAUGAAGAAGUUAAAAAAAGAAGUUUGUUCAACUUUUAAAAUCCU